rnacentral:rRNA from 1 species
GACGAACGCUGGCGGCGCGCUUAAUACAUGCAAGUCGAGCGCAGGAAGCCAUCUGAACCCUUCGGGGGGACGACGGUGGAAUGAGCGGCGGACGGGUGAGUAGCACGUAAAGAACCUGCCCAUAGGUCUGGGAUAACCACGAGAAAUCGGGGCUAAUACCGGAUGUGUCAGCGGACCGCAUGGUCCGCUGAUGAAAGGCGCUCCGGCGUCGCCCAUGGAUGGCUUUGCGGUGCAUUAGCUAGUUGGUGGGGUAACGGCCCACCAAGGCGACGAUGCAUAGCCGACCUGAGAGGGUGAUCGGCCACACUGGGACUGAGACACGGCCCAGACUCCUACGGGAGGCAGCAGUAGGGAAUCUUCCACAAUGGACGAAAGUCUGAUGGAGCAACGCCGCGUACGAUGAAGGCUUUCGGGUCGUAAAGUUCUGUUGUAAGGGAAGAACAAGUGCCGCAGGCAAUGGCGGCACCUUGACGGUACCUUGCGAGAAAGCCACGGCUAACUACGUGCCAGCCGCCGCAGUAA